GAAGGUCCGGGCGUUAUCCGGAUUUAUUGGGUUUAAAGGGAGCGUAGGCCGGAGAUUAAGCGUGUUGUGAAAUGUAGAUGCUCAACAUCUGCACUGCAGCGCGAACUGGUUUCCUUGAGUACGCACAAAGUGGGCGGAAUUCGUGGUGUAGCGGUGAAAUGCAUAGAUAUCACGCAGAACUCCGAUUGCGAAGGCAGCAUACCGGCGCUCAACUGACGCUCAGGCACGAAAGCGUGGGUAGC
rnacentral:rRNA from 1 species